rnacentral:rRNA from 1 species
GUGCACCAGUCGAGAAACCUCCGCAAUGCGGGAAACCGCGACGGGGGACCCCGAGUGCCGUGGCAACGCCACGGCUUUUCCGGAGUGUAAAAAGCUCCGGGAAUAAGGGCUGGGCAAGGCCGGUGGCAGCCGCCGCGGUAAUACCGGCGGCCCGAGUGGUGGCCGCUAUUAUUGGGCCUAAAGCGUCCGUAGCCGGGCCCGUAAGUCCCUGGCGAAAUCCCACGGCUCAACCGUGGGGCUUGCUGGGGAUACUGCGGGUCUUGGGACCGGGAGAGGCGGGGGGUACCCCUGGGGUAGGGGUGAAAUCCUAUAAUCCCAGGGGGACCGCCAGUGGCGAAGGCGCCCCGCUGGAACGGGUCCGACGGUGAGGGACGAAGGCCAGGGGAGCAAACCGGAUUAGAUACCCGUGUAGU